GUAUUUCUUUUAAGAGGAUCUAUGCAAAUGUGCUUCCUAAGGAGAGAGACUGUGGGUAGUGCUCACCCAGGCAUAAGGGUGCUCCCAGUACCCACCAACCUGUGCAAGGUCAGAGAGAUCCAUCCGGAAGCUACAGGUCAUGCAAGCCCAUGACCUCCUCCUCCAGGAGCUGCCCACUCAUCCAGGUGAUCUCAUAAAGCCCCGCAGCCACACACAACAUCCACUUUAGCCAAAUCCUCUGAUGUGUGCAGGUCCCCGAGGGAUGCUCUGGACAGGUGAGACAGGCCCAGAUUUGACUCCAGCUCCAGCCUUGCUAAAGCCACUUCGUUACUCCCUGAAAUUCCACUUUCUCAGCUAUGAAGCUGGCAAUUCGGGGAAAAAAGGAGAAGAGAUGGAGGAGAAAAUGAUCCCCAGGAAAUGCCAAAGAGGUGAAGUCUCAGAAAGGAAGACCUUCUGUUUCCAGGAGCUGGGAAACCACCACAACAGACCGUGUAUGGACAAGCUUCAUGCCUGUUGCUGUGUGGGCCACUCAAGAGAGUUCACCAGAACACCUGAUGACAUUAUCGAAGACAGUCAACUGGAAACCAGGAAAAUCCAUCAGAUGGAAACUACCAUCCUCAUUCCACCAUUUAAAGAUGCUUCUAACUGAAAUCUAGAAAUUUUCUCAAUUGGCUGUUCUCCAAACUCAGAAACUGAGUUCAUAAUUUGCUCAAACUAUUAACCUUUGUUUUCCUUUUGUCUCAAUAGAAAUGCCUCUUAUUAAGUUACCUAAUUGCUCG
rnacentral:lncRNA from 1 species